rnacentral:rRNA from 1 species
GUCGAGAAUCUUUCACAAUGGGGGCAACCCUGAUGGAGCGACGCCGCGUGGAGGAUAAGGUCUUCGGAUUGUAAACUCCUGUCAUGCGUGAACAAGGUUGCUUGGUUAAUACCUGGGCAAAUUGAUGGUAACGCAAGAGGAAGAGACGGCUAACUCUGUGCCAGCAGCCGCGGUAAUACAGAGGUCUCAAGCGUUGUUCGGAAUCACUGGGCGUAAAGGGUGCGUAGGUGGCGUGGUAAGUCAGAUGUGAAAGCCCGGGGCUCAACCUCGGAACUGCAUCCGAUAAUGCCAUGCUAGAGUACUGGAGAGGUGACUAGAAUUCUCGGUGUAGCAGUGAAAUGCGUAGAUAUCGAGAGGAAUACCAAAGGCGUAGGCAGGUCACUGGACAGUUACUGACACUGAGGCACGAAGGCCAGGGGAGCGAACGGGAUUAGAUACCCCAGUAGUCC